rnacentral:rRNA from 1 species
CACGAACGCUGGCGGCGUGCCUAAUACAUGCAAGUAGAACGCUGAAGAGAGGAGCUUGCUCUUCUUGGAUGAGUUGCGAACGGGUGAGUAACGCGUAGGUAACCUGCCUUGUAGCGGGGGAUAACUAUUGGAAACGAUAGCUAAUACCGCAUAACAAUGGAUGACACAUGUCAUUUAUUUGAAAGGGGCAACUGCUCCACUACAAGAUGGACCUGCGUUGUAUUAGCUAGUAGGUGAGGUAACGGCUCACCUAGGCGACGAUACAUAGCCGACCUGAGAGGGUGAUCGGCCACACUGGGACUGAGACACGGCCCAGACUCCUACGGGAGGCAGCAGUAGGGAAUCUUCGGCAAUGGGGGCAACCCUGACCGAGCAACGCCGCGUGAGUGAAGAAGGUUUUCGGAUCGUAAAGCUCUGUUGUAAGUCAAGAACGAGUGUGAGAGUGGAAAGUUCACACUGUGACGGUAGCUUACCAGAAAGGGACGGCUAACUACGUGCCAGCAGCCGCAGUAACAC